CCUACGGGUUGCAGCAGUGGGGAAUAUUGCACAAUGGGCGCAAGCCUGAUGCAGCCAUGCCGCGUGUAUGAAGAAGGCCUUCGGGUUGUAAAGUACUUUCAGCGGGGAGGAAGGUGUUGUGGUUAAUAACCGCAGCAAUUGACGUUACCCGCAGAAGAAGCACCGGCUAACUCCGUGCCAGCAGCCGCGGUAAUACGGAGGGUGCAAGCGUUAAUCGGAAUUACUGGGCGUAAAGCGCACGCAGGCGGUUUGUUAAGUCAGAUGUGAAAUCCCCGGGCUCAACCUGGGAACUGCAUCUGAUACUGGCAAGCUUGAGUCUCGUAGAGGGGGGUAGAAUUCCAGGUGUAGCGGUGAAAUGCGUAGAGAUCUGGAGGAAUACCGGUGGCGAAGGCGGCCCCCUGGACGAAGACUGACGCUCAGGUGCGAAAGCGUGGGGAGCAAACAGGAUUAGAUACCCGAGUAGUC
rnacentral:rRNA from 1 species